rnacentral:rRNA from 1 species
CGUGGAUAAUCUGCCCUCAGGUGAGGAAUAAUCCCGGGAAACUGGGGCUAAUACCUCAUAGGAGACGGUUGCUGGAAUGCUCUGUCUCUGAAAGGUCUGCCGCCUGAGGAUGAGUCUGCGUCCGAUUAGGUUGUUGUUGGGGUAACGGCCCACCAAGCCUUUGAUCGGUACGGGUUGUGGGAGCAAGAGCCCGGAGAUGGAUUCUGAGACAUGAAUCCAGGCCCUACGGGGCGCAGCAGGCGCGAAAACUUUACAAUGCGAGCAAUCGUGAUAAGGAAACCCUGAGUGCCUGUUAUCACAGGCUGUUCUGGUGUCUAACCCACACCAGGAGAAAGGGCGGGGCAAGACCGGGUGCCAGCCGCCGCGGUAAUACCGGCUGCUCGAGUGAUAGCCACUUUUUACUGGGGCUUAAAGCGUUCGUAGCUUGGUCGU